rnacentral:rRNA from 1 species
AGCCACAUCUAUAUCACCCUGCAGCCUAAGACUGCUUACUCACUGAAGCUUAUCAGGACUGAGACUGGUCAGGGCCUAGAUGGGAGACCACAUGGGAAAACUAGGUUGCUGUUGGAA